GAGCACAACCACCGAGUGGAGGAGCUGUGGGACUUCACCUCUCUGAGUCUCCUGCUGCUCGACUGCAAAACGGAGUUCCAGAAGGCACCGAGAAGCUCUGUAUAAGGACACAAUUCCACCACCAAUGCAGGAGUGCCUGGCAAUGGGAUAAUAACAGCACCUCCCAGGACUGCAGCUGCCCCCAAGCCUGACCUCCCUGGGUUCCUCUGUCCCCUUCUCACCCUGCAUUCCUUCAAGACCUGCUAGCAAUGAGCUGUCCCGUGGAAAGGCUCUGGUCCCAGAGUUGUGGAUACGCAGAGCAGGAUGGGAGGCCUCCUGUUCUCCUGCCCAUCUGGAUGCUUGAAGCCCUGGUGUGGGAAGUCUGCCAAGUGAUACCUCUGCUUACAUACCUCCAGGGAAGGCAAGCUCACUACCUCCUAAGUCAGUCACUGUCUCUGGACAGCUUGGAGUCCCUGUGAUUCCCCACAACUGGACCACCAUGUGGAGACUUGAGGCAGAGCCCACGUCCUUCUGAGGCUCCUCUGGCCAGGCUCUGCAGGCCAGAUUCCAAGAACAGGUCACCAGGUCCCAGCCACAGCCUUCAGCCCUCUCAGGGCCCUGGUGGGUCACCAGGGGGAGUCAGAGCCCCUUCCCCUCCUGGGACCCUGUGGGGCACAAAGCAAGUCCUGGUCCAGAGGAAGAACCCCAGGAGAGUUUGCUGAGCAAGUGACUGAUUGUGUGACCAGGUCCCCACCUGCAGUCUCCGCCUGCCACUCCCCACCCUGCCCCACUGACCUGUGCUUCUCCUCCAAGGGCUCCACAGUGAGAUAGUGCAGGUCUCUGGAGAGGUGGUAUGGGUCCCAUCGGGGCUGCCCCUGGGUUCUGGCCUUGAUGGACCACAGCAGGCCAAAGAGCAGCAGCAGGCCGCCUGCACCGCAGAAGAAGAAGCUGAUCAUCCUGAGCAGGGCACUGGGGACCUCAGAUGUGGGGUGCCCAGUGGGCGGGGCUGGUUGGCCAGGGUGGGCACCCAUAUCCGCUUCACUCCACCAAGUGAAACAAAGCAUCCCAGCCACCAGAACCACAGUGCCACUGACCGUCAUACAAUAGCGGAGGGUGGAGGCCACAUGGCUCCUGUCCCAUGUCUGGACAAGGAGAGGGAAAGAAAAGAAGACAAGGGCUGCAUGAAAUAUCUGCUGGGUGCUGGAGACCUGAGUUUUAGUCUUCCUCUGCCUGAGGUUGCUGUGCAACCUUGGAAAGGUCACUUGACCCUCUGUGCCUCCGUUUCCUCAUCCAUAAAAUGGACAUGAUCCCCCCAGCUUUGCAUGGCUGCUUUGAAGGUCGCAAGUGAUGUGUAGUGAGUUCCUAGUACCACUCCUGGAACUCAGCAGGCUCUGAAUAAGUGUGGUUAUGGUCACUUUAGUCCUCUCUUGAAGCCUCAAAGGCCUCACCUGUAAGACACCUCACUGCGUCUACCUCACGGGAAGCUGGGAAGGAGGAGAGUGAACCUUGUGGAAUCCACCAGGCCUGCCAGGGUCGGGGCUUGCUGGUUACUCAUCAUUGCCUUAUUUCACCCCGUCAUGAUCCCAUCAGGUUGACACCAUUAUCUCCAUUCGAUGGAUGAAGAAACCAAGACCCAGAGAGAGUAAAUGAACCAGUGUAGAAGUGGGUAUUGAAAAGCCUGAAGUGGAAAUUCACAACAUGGAGACAAAACUUUGUGCAAAAAGAUGUUCAUCGUGGCCUUAUUUAUAAUGGUCAUUGUGCCGGUUUGAAUGUAUUAUGUCCCCCAAAUGCCAUUAUCUUUGAUGUAAUCUUGUAUGGACAGAUGUUAUCAGGGUUGCUUAGAUUGUAAUUCUUUGAGUGUUUCUUUGGAAUGCACCCCACCCAGCUGUGGGUGAAGACUCUGAUUGGAUAAUUUCCAUGGAGGUGUUGCUCCACCCAUCCAGGGUGGGUCUAAGUUGAUCAG